GAUGAACGCUGGCGGCGUGCCUAAUACAUGCAAGUCGAGCGAACAGAUGAGGAGCUUGCUCCUCUGACGUUAUCGGCGGACGGGUGAGUAACACGUGGAUAACCUACCUAUAAGACUGGGAUAACUUCGGGAAACCGGAUCUAAGACCGGAUAAUAUAUUGAACCUCAUGGUUCAAGAGUUAAAGACGGUUUUGCGUUCACUUAAAGAUUGAUCAGCGCCGCAUUAAUUAGUUGGUAAGGUAACGGCUUACCAAGGCAACGAUGCGAAGCCGACCUGAGAGGGACAUCGGCCAGCCUGGAACUGAGGCACGGCCCCGACACCUACGGGGGGCAGCAGCAGGGACUCUUCCGCGAUGGGCGAAAGCCUGACGGAGCACCGCCGCGUGAGUGCUGAUGGUCUUCGGACCGUAAAACUCUGUUAUUAGGGAAGAACAAAUGUGUAAGUAACUAUGCACGUCUUGACGGUACCUAAUCAGAAAGCCACGGCUAACUACGUG
rnacentral:rRNA from 1 species